rnacentral:rRNA from 1 species
GAUGAACGCUGGCGGCGUGCCUAAUACAUGCAAGUCGAGCGAACAGACGAGGAGCUUGCUCCUUCGACGUUAGCGGCGGACGGGUGAGUAACACGUAGGUAACCUACCUAUAAGACUGGGAUAACUUCGGGAAACCGGAGCUAAUACCGGAUAAUAUUUCGAACCGCAUGGUUCGAUAGUGAAAGAUGGCUUUGCUAUCACUUAUAGAUGGACCUGCGCCGUAUUAGCUAGUUGGUAAGGUAACGGCUUACCAAGGCAACGAUACGUAGCCGACCUGAGAGGGUGAUCGGCCACACUGGAACUGAGACACGGUCCAGACUCCUACGGGAGGCAGCAGUAGGGAAUCUUCCGCAAUGGGCGAAAGCCUGACGGAGCAACGCCGCGUGAGUGAUGAAGGUCUUCGGAUCGUAAAACUCUGUUAUUAGGGAAGAGCAAACGUGUAAGUAACUGUGCACGUCUUGACGGUACCUAAUCAGAAAGCCACGGCUAACUACGUGCCAGCAGCCGCCGCGG